AGAGAAAAUAAAAUUUUUUUAAAAAAAAAAUCUGGUUGGUAAACCCUCAUUAUAAUGCCCCAGCCACUGUCAAUGAUGCCAAGAAAAUUCUGAUGUCCUCUGAAACAACAUCAAAUAAUGUAUACAAGCUAGCAAAAGUAUGUAUCUUUCAAAAAUGCAGUCCCCUGGUGGCCAAAAAUUGCUUCUUCUGUGUCAUCAAGCAUCUUCUCCAACUACUGGCACCUUCAUUUCAAAUUAUGUUCAGGGAAACUAAGGCACCACCUUUACUUUAGCCUUCCACAGUAAGUACUUGGCAUUUUCUUGCUUGUAUCUUCUCCAUUCUCUUAAAGCCGCAAGGAGAACAUGCAUUGCAACAGGCAAGAAGAAGGGCGAGUAUACUGCAAAACAAUGCUCAAACGAGUAGUAGCUGACAGACAUAAUGGAUGGGUGGAAAAAGGCAUCUUCUGCCAAAGAUCUUGCCUGCCUUGAGGACACAGCUGAAGCAUCAUAAAAUCCAAUAGUGGAAUUAAUUUGAGCCAAUUUUGCUGAUUCCAGAGAGAACUUCACCUGCUUUCCUAUCUCAUCCAUGAUAAUCAUCCUUGGUAAUGAUUGAACCAAUCUAGACAAAGAUCCAAGGGUUGUAGCACUUGAAUGAACAUUAAAACAAGUAUGCUGCCUUGACAAGACAUCCAAUUCCCAUUCUGUGAAGCCUCUUUCACUAGUUAAUAGAUUGUAUUCACCAUAUGCACCAACAUAAAUACUCUCAGAUUUAAGACCAAAAAGUUGCCGGAACUGACCCAUGAAAACUUCAAAAACCUUGUUAAGAUCCUGUGUGGAUAUCAUAUGCCUCCUGGGAAGCUUAUCUUCUGAAACUUUUAAACAGGUUGAUGGAUUCCACACCAUAAUACCUCCCCACAUUGGAGAGAUAAAACCAUUUGUUGCAGAAAUCUGUCCAUUUGGAAGCUGUAGAAGAAGAGGGCAUUCCUUUGCAGAUGGCACAAACACCACAAAUUGCAAUAUCUUUGAUCGCC
rnacentral:misc_RNA from 1 species